rnacentral:rRNA from 1 species
AGGACGAACGCUGGCGGCGUGCCUAAUACAUGCAAGUCGAACGGUCUUUCUAUGGAAGCUUGCUCCACUGAGAAGAUAGUGGCGAACGGGUGAGUAACACGUGGGUAACCUGCCCAUAAGAGGGGGGAUAACAUCCGGAAACGGGUGCUAAUACCGCAUAGUUUUCUUGAUCGCAUGAUCGGGAAAGGAAAGACGGCCUUUGUGCUGUCGCUUAUGGAUGGACCCGCGGCGUAUUAGUUAGUUGGUGAGGUAACGGCUCACCAAGACGAUGAUACGUAGCCGACCUGAGAGGGUGAUCGGCCACAUUGGGACUGAGACACGGCCCAAACUCCUACGGGAGGCAGCAGUAGGGAAUCUUCCGCAAUGGACGAAAGUCUGACGGAGCAACGCCGCGUGAGUGAAAGAAGGUUUUCGGAUCGUAAAACUCUGUUGUCAGAGAAGAACAAGUUGGAGAGUAACUGCUCCAGCCUUGACGGUAUCUGACCAGAAAGCCACGGCUAACUACGUGCCAGCCGCCGC